rnacentral:rRNA from 1 species
AUUGAACGCUGGCGGCAGGCUUAACACAUGCAAGUCGAGCGGGGUGAUGGUGCUUGCACUAUCACUUAGCGGCGGACGGGUGAGUAAUGCUUAGGAAUCUGCCUAUUAGUGGGGGACAACAUUUCGAAAGGAAUGCUAAUACCGCAUACGUCCUACGGGAGAAAGCAGGGGAUCUUCGGACCUUGCGCUAAUAGAUGAGCCUAAGUCGGAUUAGCUAGUUGGUGGGGUAAAGGCCUACCAAGGCGACGAUCUGUAGCGGGUCUGAGAGGAUGAUCCGCCACACUGGGACUGAGACACGGCCCAGACUCCUACGGGAGGCAGCAGUGGGGAAUAUUGGACAAUGGGGGGAAGCCUGAUCCAGCCAUGCCGCGUGUGUGAAGAAGGCCUUAUGGUUGUAAAGCACUUUAAGCGAGGAGGAGGCUACUUUAGUUAAUACCUAGAGAUAGUGGACGUUACUCGCAGAAUAAGCACCGGCUAACUCUGUGCCAGCAGCCGCAGUAAGAC